rnacentral:rRNA from 1 species
GCACUUUAGGUUGGGAAGAAAAAAUUCGGGCGAAUAUCCCGAGUCUUGACGGUACCGACAGAAUAAGCACCGGCUAACUCUGUGCCAGCAGCCGCGGUAAUACAGAGGGUGCUAGCGUUAAUCGGAUUUACUGGGCGUAAAGCGUGCGUAGGCGGUUUGUUAAGUCGGAUGUGAAAGCCCCGGGCUCAACCUGGGAAUUGCAUUCGAUACUGGCAGACUAGAGAACGGUAGAGGGAGGCGGAACUCCAGGUGUAGCGGUGAAAUGCGUAGAUAUCUGGAAGAACACCGAUGGCGAAGGCAACCUCCUGGGCCUGUUCUGACGCUGAGGCACGAAAGCGUGGGUAGCAAACAGGAUUAGAUACCCUGGUAGU